UCCUGGCUCAGGAUGAACGCUAGCUACAGGCUUAACACAUGCAAGUCGAGGGGCAUCACGAAUGAAGCUUGCUUUAUUUGGUGGCGACCGGCGCACGGGUGAGUAACGCGUAUCCGACCUACCCAUAACACGGGCCCAGCCGCUCGAAAAGAGUGAUUGAUUCCCGAUAUGUCAUAUGAGUAGAUUGUAUGAUGAAAGAUUUAUCGGUUAUGGAUGGGGAUGCGUAAGAUUAGGUAGUAGGCGGGGUAACGGCCCACCUAGCCGACGAUCUUUAGGGGUUCUGAGAGGAAGGUCCCCCACACUGGUACUGAGACACGGACCAGACUCCUACGGGAGGCAGCAGUGAGGAAUAUUGGUCAAUGGGCGGAAGCCUGAACCAGCCAAGUAGCGUGAAGGAUUACAGCCCUACGGGUUUUAAACUUCUUUUAUAUAAGAGUAAUGUGCACUACGUGUAGUGUAUUGCAAGUAUUAUAUGAAUAAGCAUCGGCUAACUCCGUG
rnacentral:rRNA from 1 species